ACAAUCAUUUGCAUCACCACAUUUGCCUCGCACAUUUAAACAUGUGACGCAAUUGACAGUUCUAAGCUUUAAAAUUAGUCAUUUGCGUCGCAGAAUUAUUAAUCUGCGACGCAAAUGACUCUAAAAUGUUCUCAGAGUCAUUUGCGUCGCAGAUUAGUAAUAAUGCGACGCAAAAUAUUACCUCCUUUGCGUCGCAGAAUUACUAAUCUGCGACGCAAAUGACUCUUUAAGUCACCUGCGUCGCAGAUUAGUAAUUCUGCGACGCAGAGGAGGUAAAAAAAAUUCGGAAGUUUUUAAUUAUUCCUUCUCCCCUCUUUUUCUCUCUCUUCUUCUUUCCAGAACUCCAUUCAUGAGAUGUCAAUACCUCUCAAUCUUUCAUUCAUUUGAAAUCUCCUCUAACCACUAUACGUAUUUUGCCUUUAAUUUACCCGGAAAAAUCAAGAUUUGCGAAAACACGGCUCGAAGAGAAAAAUCCUAGAUUCCGCCGCGAAGAAGGAGACAUUUCAAAGCAGUGCAGCUCGAUUGCUAGCGAGUCUCCGAUCCAAUUCUGCGAAUUAGUUCGUCGGCGAUUUAGCCUAUUUCUAGGGUUUUUAAGGUUGGGUGAAACGCCAAACCGUUGGAGCUGGAUCUUCGGUUAACGUCGCCGCCGUCAUUGAUUACCUUAUUUCUUAGAUGGUGCCUGAUAUUGUAGAGGGUGAUGGGUUUGUUGGGAGGCAGCCUCAUAUCAAGUAUGAGCUCAGAGAUAGUCCUGGUCUUGUGAAUGUAGGAGGAUACAACCAAUGUGUAUUCUUCAACUGCAGUUAUAGUAGUUCGGAUACUCCACUGAGUGAGGGUCAGUGCCAUUGGUUUUCUCCCAAGGGUUCUACUUUGCUUAAAGCGGGCUCUAAAAAUCGCAAAUGCCGCUCAACAGAUGGCUAAUGAUACUCGGGGUAGUGGUGGUUUAGUUAUGCUGUUCAUUGAAAUCAUCAAUAAGUAUCUCUAUUUUUUUGAGAAGGGAAACAACCAAAUCACCGUCAAUACAAUCCAGGAUCUAAUGGAAUUAAUUACUACAGAGAUGCAAAGUGAUAAUGCGGCAACAGAUUCUGCUGCUGAAGCUUUCUUUGCAAGCACAUUGCGGUACAUCCAAUUCCAGAAACAAAAAGGUGGCGCAGUUAGUGAGAAAUAUGAACCUAAUGAGAACUGAAAAGUUAAAACUUGAGAAAGGGAAACAAACUCGGUAACAAUUGCUCUUCAAUCCGCUAAACUUGUGAGAAUUGUCGCCUUUGAUCUUGCUCUUGGGACUCUUGAAUGGUUCCCUCAUUUGUCUUUGAAUACGCUGACGCUGACGCUGCGUGCUACGUGUGUCAUGGGAAGUUGCUUAUCCAAGCAUGAUCUCAACUCUCAAAUUGAUUUGGUAAUUGAAAUUUUGAAGCGUCCAGGAGAAGUCCUCCCUGUUUGUCUUAGUGUCGCACGAACGCUGUAAAUUCAUAAUUUAGUGUGCUUCAAUUUUAAUUUCUCGGCUUUUUUUUUCUCGGUUCAAAUUUUUAUUUUUAUUUCAUAUUGUAAUUUGUUUGAUUUUGGUCUGACAAUGGAGUUUUUUUCAUCUGCUUGAAUGAUA